CGGGUGAGUAACACGUAUCCAACCUGCCGUCUACUCUUGGACAGCCUUCUGAAAGGAAGAUUAAUACAAGAUGGCAUCAUGAGUCCGCAUGUUCACAUGAUUAAAGGUAUUCCGGUAGACGAUGGGGAUGCGUUCCAUUAGAUAGUAGGCGGGGUAACGGCCCACCUAGUCUUCGAUGGAUAGGGGUUCUGAGAGGAAGGUCCCCCACAUUGGAACUGAGACACGGUCCAA
rnacentral:rRNA from 1 species